CAAUAGCGUAUAUUAAAGUUGUUGCAGUUAAAAAGCUCGUAGUUGGAUUUCUGGUAGGAGUGACCGUUCCGAACUUGAUUGUUCGUGUAUUGUGUUUUCUCCAGCCAUCCUUGUGGAGAACUUUUCUUGCAUUAAUUUGUAGGGAUUGGGACCCGCAUCGUUUACUGCGAAAAAAUUAGAGUGUUUAAAGCAGGCAAUCGCUUGAAUACAUUAGCAUGGAAUAAUAAGAUAGGACUUUGGUACUAUUUUGUUGGUUUGCAUACCAAAUUAAUGAUCAACAGGAACAGUUUGAGGAUAUUCGUAUGAACAUGUCAGAGGUGAAAUUCUUGGAUUUUGAUCAGACGAACUACUGCGAAAGCAUUUAUCAAGGAUGUUUUCAUUAA
rnacentral:rRNA from 1 species